rnacentral:lncRNA from 1 species
AAAAAAGUGUUUUUAACUAAAAAAUACCGAAUUCCAACAUUGUAAAGAAACCAGUGGCCUCAUAAACAGUGAAUUCUCAUAGCAAAAAUUCCUGAGGAAGACAAUGGCUCACUAAUCCCUCCGACUUGGUAGAAUGUUCUAACUUGGGCUCCGCUCAUUGAACAAAGAGAUAGGAUCAUUCCAGCUGCAUAUCAUUUACUGGACAGAGCUUAUGAGAGAGUAAACCUUGGAUAUGGAGUGAUUGGGGGACUGCCUCAAAGCACUUCUGUUCAAUAUUACUGCGUCAUGUGCUGCAUAAUGACACGGUAUGUUCUGAGAAAUGUCUUUAGACAACACCGUUGUUGUAUGAACAUCACAGCGUGCACUUAUAUGCCUAGAUGGUACAGCCUACUACACUCCUGGGCGAUACGGUGGAGCCUAUUGUUUAGGCUACAAAUCUGUACAGCAUGUGACCGUACUGAAUACCACAGGCAAUUAUUGUAACACAGUGGUAUGUAUUUGUGUGCCCUAAACCUAGAAAAGGUACAGUAAAAAUACAGUAUUAUAAUCUCACGGGACCAUUAUUGGAUACGCAGUCUGUGGUUAAUCAAAAUGUGAUUAUGCCGUGCAUGACUGUAUAUGUGUGUUCACAAGUAUAUAUACAUGUAUACUCUCACACCAAUGCCAACACAUAUACAUGUGUACACACACAGCCCUUCUCCUGCUUUUUACUAAAAUUAACUCCUCUAAUUAAUCUGUAGAGCUCUUUCAGCUUGAAAAUCCCAGGAAGGGCCGGGAGCAAUGGCUCACGCCGGUAAUCCCAACACUUUGGGAGGCCAAGACGGGCAGAUCACCUGAGGUCACCAGUUCAAGACCAGCCUGGCCAACAUCAUGAAACCCCCAUCUCUACUAAAAAUACAAAAAUCAGCCAGGCCUGGUGGCGUGUGCCUGUAAUCCCAGCUACUUGGGAGGCUGAGGCAGGAGAAUUGCUUGAAUCUCAGAGGCGGAGAUUGCAGUCAGCCGAGAUCGCGCCACUGCACUCCAGCCUGGGUGACAGAGCAAGACUCUGCCUCAAAAAAAAAAAAAAAAAAAAA